UUCCAGAGCCAUGUCUCCCUGCAGUUCUUGCCUGCCUUGACUUCACUUCCUACUGAAAUUAAGCAGAGUUGAGCCUGGCCAGUACCUGGAUGGGAGACCUCCUGGGGAAAACUAAGGUUGCUGUUGGAA
rnacentral:rRNA from 1 species